UCCAGACUCCUACGGGAGGCAGCAGUGGGGAAUAUUGCACAAUGGGGGGAACCCUGAUGCAGCGACGCCGCGUGAGUGAAGAAGUAUUUCGGUAUGUAAAGCUCUAUCAGCAGGGAAGAAAAUGACGGUACCUGACUAAGAAGCCCCGGCUAACUACGUGCCAGCAGCCGCGGUAAUACGUAGGGGGCAAGCGUUAUCCGGAUUUACUGGGUGUAAAGGGAGCGCAGACGGCUGUGCAAGUCUGAUGUGAAAGGCGGGGGCCCAACCCCCGGACUGCUCUGGAAACUGUAAAGCUGGAGUGCAGGAGAGGUAAGCGGAAUUCCUAGUGUAGCGGUGAAAUGCGUAGAUAUUAGGAGGAACACCAGUGGCGAAGGCGGCUUACUGGACUGCAACUGACGUUGAGGCUCGAAAGCGUGGGGAGCAAACAGGAUUAGAUACCCGGGUAUC
rnacentral:rRNA from 1 species